AAAAAUGUUGAUGGUAUCAAUGUUGUACCGUCGCUUGCAACUAACGAUGAACGGUUGCUCAUAAAAACAUUACAUAUAUUUGCGUGAGAAUCUUCAAUGUUUGUCAUGAGCAACAACACUUAGUUGACAUGUUUUAAUCUGAUCAGCCAAUAUAACGUUCAAGUAGCUACAAGCUUGGUUGGCUUUGAAACCAUGAAAUGAUCAUCACAAACUUUGAACUUUUUCAGUAAAAACAUCGAACUUUGUGAUGAGAAUAGACAAUGUAUUAUCUGCAACUGUUCACCCUUAGUUGCAAGCGACGGUAUUUGUAACCACGGGGUUAUGGCAGUUACUGUAAGCCAGCAUGAAAUUGCCUGUGACAUUGUUAAUAUUACUGACUUGAACUUGUAUGACAAACACUUUAUUGGAAAAUUGUAAAGAAACAGAGGAUGGAAUAUACUUGUACAGCUAUCAUUGGUAUAUAGCGUUGUGAAGACAAACCACCAGGUACAGUACCUUUUACACACUUGUAAUUUUUAUUUUAUAAUGAACGAAUAAAGUAUAUUUAUAGAGCUAUUAUUAUAUAGAACAUGGGUCAUGGUCAUGAUAGUAUGAUCAUGAUAGUGCAGUUUCAUGUAUAAAGUAAUAACAACACAAACUAUCAAGGGGGCUGGUUGUAUGAAGCGGGCUAUCUGCUAAUUUAUGUCAAGAAAAUAUAUCCUUUGACCCAAAGCCGAAAGGAAAAUCUUGAUUUACCAAACACUUUUAUCAACUUUUUUGAGAAAAUCUUGAAGGCAAAACAGAGAAGAAAGUAAUCGACCUGGUGAGAUGGCUGCAUGGGCUAGCUUUUCCAUAUAAACAGCCCUAAUAUAUCAAUUUAAUAAAUUUAACUGAAAAAUAAACUAAGUUCAACUGUCAAAUUUAGCCGUUAUUACUGUAAACAAUUUUAACAAUUGCAGAUUUGAUAUAGUAACAAUAUAAAAUUACAUUGUUAAUUUAUCAAAUCUGCAAUGGUUAAAAACAACUGGCCGUCCCUUCCCCUCUUUUGAACCAUGCCUUUGGGGGCACUUGAUCCUGGCAUGCCCCCGUUCACCGCACAACCAGCAUACUAUGCCUAUAUUUGAAAAUAUAAAAUUCUAGUAUGUAGUAUUAUUAACCCAUUGAGUGGCAGCACUCUCCACUUGACAAGUAAAAUCAUCUGGCGUUAGACAGAGCAAAAUCGUCUGGCAUUAGACAGAGUAAAAUACUAAAGUAUGGCUAAUGAGGGUGCAUUGCCUCUUAAAAGAUUAACCUGUCAAGUGGAAAUCAGGCCUCGAAUUUCCCUGAAAUCAAUCGACGGCAAUGGCGUUAAAAAUUGCCGUAGAACGUAACAGCUGUCUACGCCAAUUUUGGCAGUUUCCACGGCAUUUUUUCAAAUUACUGUAACAAAAAUUUAAUUUUAUUGUUAAUAUAGUAAUUUAGUGAAUAGUAUAAAAAUUAUACUAUACGGCAAAAAAUUGCUGUCGUUUCCGCAAUGAUCCACGGCAUUUUGUACUCCCUCUACGGCAAUUGCCGCGAUAAAAUUCGAGCCCUGGUGGAAAUACACCAAUAUGCACUCAAUUUUGUUAUUCUAUUAUGUAUAAUACCAGACAAUUUUAUUUGUCAUCGGGAGAGUGUUGCCACUCAAUGGGUUAGUCUGUUAUGGGGUCGGCUAUUUUGCGAGCUGCGAGUUGCGAGUCGCUAGCCUCGCUUUGAAUUAGGCUUUGAAAGUAUAUUAAUAUGGACGACAUGGAAGGCAAAGUCGAAGGGUUUUCUGUUUCAUAAAUAUAAUGACCUUCGAAGUUAAGGUCCCUGUAACUAAGACUUCGACACAAAAGAAAAUGCUACGAUACGGACGAGAUAAAAAUCGGCCUUUACUUGUUUUUUUUUACUUUGUUAGAUCCAUCGAUACGUAUGUUCAAGAAUUAAAAUAAUUAUAUUGAAAAUAAAAGUGCAAGUUUAUAUUUGCCGUUUCUGUGUUUAAUAAAAUCUAGUAGUUAUUCAGACCAUUUUGUGCUUUCUAAUCUUAAAAUGGUUAUUUAAUUUUAUUAGUAAGUAUGACCAGACACCGACUCAGUUUGUUUAUAUAUACUGAACGCUGGGAACCCUAUAAAACUCAAGUCCUUUUCAUCGGAAGUACAAUUUAUUUUAUACAAUUUAUACAUAGACAUACAUAUACAUACAUAAAC